rnacentral:tRNA from 1 species
GCUGUAGCUCAGUGGUACAGCAUCUGCUUGACACGUGGAAGGUCCCGGGUUCAAACCCUAGCAUCUCCA